AAAGUCGUAACAAGGUUUCCGUAGGUGAACCUGCGGAAGGAUCAUUAACGUGGGGCUCCGGCCCCGCCGAGAUAGAACCCUUGCCUUUUUCGAGCACCCGUACGUUUCCUCGGCAGGCCCGCCUGCCAGUGGGGACCCAAACACAAACCCUUGAAAUCACCUGCCACUGUCUGAGAAAACAAAACAAAAAUCAAAACUUUCAACAACGGAUCUCUUGGUUCUG
rnacentral:misc_RNA from 1 species